ACGCGCAGAACCUUACCUACUCUUGACAUCCCGUGAUCGCUGCAGAGAUGUAGUUUUCCCUUCGGGGACACGGUGACAGGUGCUGCAUGGCUGUCGUCAGCUCGUGUUGUGAAAUGUUCGGUUAAGUCCGGCAACGAGCGCAACCCCUGUCCUUAGUUGCCAGCAUUAAGUUGGGUACUCUAGGGAGACUGCCGGUGUUAAACCGGAGGAAGGCGGGGAUGACGUCAAGUCCUCAUGGCCCUUACGAGUAGGGCUACACACGUACUACAAUGGCAGAAACAGAGGGAAGCAAGACCGCGAGAUGGAGCCAAUCUCAAAAACACUGUCUCAGUCCGGAUUGGAGUCUGCAACUCGACUCCAUGAAGUUGGAAUCGCUAGUAAUCGCAGAUCAGCACGCUGCGGUGAAUACGUUCCCGGGCCUUGUACACACCGCCCGUCACACCACGAAAGAGGUCACAACCGUAAGCAGGUGAGCUAACCGCAAGGAGGCAGCCUACCAAGGUUGAGGUCUUGACUGGGGUGAAGUCGUAACAAGGUAACCAAGGGCGAA
rnacentral:rRNA from 1 species